GACGAACCGUGCGAACGUUAUUCGGAAUCACUGGGCUUAAAGCGCGUGUAGGCGGAUGGGAACGUCGGUAGUUGAAAGCCCCCGGCUCAACCGGGGAAGUGGUGCCGAAACGACCCGUCUGGAGGGACGUAGGGGGGACCUGGAACUUCCGGUGGAGCGGUGAAAUGCGUUGAGAUCGGAAGGAACGCCCGUGGCGAAAGCGAGGUCCUGGACGUCUACUGACGCUGAGACGCGAAAAGCUAGGGGAGCAAACGGG
rnacentral:rRNA from 1 species